rnacentral:rRNA from 1 species
AGAGUUUGAUCCUGGCUCAGAAUGAACGCUGGCGGCGUGCCUAACACAUGCAAGUCGAACGAGAAACUCCGGGCUUGCUCGGAGAAGUAAAGUGGCGCACGGGUGAGUAACGCGUGGGUGACCUGCCCCUGAAUCUGGGAUAACAUCGCGAAAGUGUUGCUAAUACCGGAUAUUGUCAUCGGAGUGCUGCUCCAAUGAUGAAAGGUGACCUCUUCAUGAAAGUUGCCGUUUAGAGAGGGGCCCGCGUACCAUUAGCUUGUUGGUGAGGUAAAGGCCCACCAAGGCUACGAUGGUUAGCUGGUCUGAGAGGAUGAUCAGCCACACUGGAACUGAAACACGGUCCAGACUCCUACGGGAGGCAGCAGUGAGGAAUUUUGCGCAAUGGGGGAAACCCUGACGCAGCAACGCCGCGUGAGUGAAGAAGGCUUUCGGGUCGUAAAGCUCUGUCAAGUGGGAAAAAAGCUUGCCGAUGAAUAGUCGGCAGGUCUGAUGGUACCGCUAGAGAAGCACCGCUAACU